UUAUGUGAUCGUCUCUCGCAUAUCAAUAAGCGGAGGAAAAGAAACUAACAAGGAUUCCCCUAGUAACGGCGAGUGAAGCGGGAAGAGCUCAAAUUUGAAAUCUUAAAGGGUUUCCCUUUACGAAUUGUAGUUUAAAGAAGUGUUUUCUGUUGAGGUUUUGGUAAAAGUUCUUUGGAAUAGGACAUCAUAGAGGGUGAGAAUCCCGUAUUUGACCUUUACUUUCAACUUUGUGAUACACUUUCAAAGAGUCGGAUUGUUUGGGAAUGCAGUCCAAAAUGGGUGGUAAAUUUCAUCUAAAGCUAAAUAUUGGCGAGAGACCGAUAGCGAACAAGUACCGUGAGGGAAAGAUGAAAAGAACUUUGAAAAGAGAGUUAAACAGUACGUGAGAUUGUCAAAAGGGAAGCGUUUGACACCAGUGUUGUUUUUCUGAAAAUCAAUUAAAGAACUGUUUAUGCUAAGCUGUUUAGACUUUAUCAGCUAAUCUGUUUAGUUUUGAGCUUUUCUUUAAUGCACUUUUCAGUUAACAAGUCAACAUCAAUUUCUUUUGCUGUAAAAAAGCUUGAGGAAGGUGGCUUGAGAUUCGUCUUAAGUGUUUAUAGCCUCUUGCCUAUGCAGUCGGAGAGAUUGAGGUCUGCAGCGUAGAUCCUUCGGGGCUAAAUGCAUUUGUGCUAAGUUAUAGCAUUUUAUAGACAACUUGUUGACUAUGAUUUGUCUUGUAGCUUACUCGCUUAUGUUAUUUUACCUACGCUUAGGAUGUUGAAGAUAUGCGCGACACG
rnacentral:rRNA from 1 species